UACAGAGGGUGCAAGCGUUAAUCGGAAUUACUGGGCGUAAAGCGCGCGUAGGUGGUUUGUUAAGUUGGAUGUGAAAGCCCCGGGCUCAACCUGGGAACUGCAUCCAAAACUGGCAAGCUAGAGUACGGUAGAGGGUGGUGGAAUUUCCUGUGUAGCGGUGAAAUGCGUAGAUAUAGGAAGGAACACCAGUGGCGAAGGCGACCACCUGGACUGGUACUGACACUGAGGUGCGAAAGCGUGGGGAGCAAACAGG
rnacentral:rRNA from 1 species